UUGACCUCAGAUCGGGUAGGACCACCGCCUGAACUUAAGCAUAUCAAUAAGGCGAGGAACAGAAACCAACGGGGAUUCCCUCAGUAGUGGCGAAUGAAGCGGGAAAAGCUCAAGUUUGAAAUCCGUCGGGCGACCGUCGGAGUUGUAAGCUGAAGAGGCGUCGGCCGACACGGCCCGGGCUCAAUUUCCUUGGAACAGGAGGUCAUGGAGGGUGAGAACCCCGUCUGUGGCUCGAGCGCCGUUGUCCUUGUGCCAUGCCCUCGAAGAGUCGGGUUGUUUGGGAAUGCAGCUCAAAAUGGGUGGUAAAUUUCAUCUAAGGCUAAAUAUUGGCGAGAGACCGAUAGCAAACAAGUAGAGUGAUCGAAAGAUGAAAAGUACUUUGAAAAGAGAGUGAAACAGUACGUGAAAUUGUUGAAAGGGAAGCGUUUGGCAUCAGCCCAUGGCGCCCAAAGAUCAUCCGGGCUUCUGUCCGGUGCACUUUUUGGGCGUCGGGCCAGCGUCGACUUUGCCUGCUGGAGAAAGGCCUUGGGGAUGUGGCUCCCUUCGGGGAGCGUUAUAACCCUUGGCGUCAUGCAGUGUGGUGGGGUCGAGGUCCACG
rnacentral:rRNA from 1 species